rnacentral:tRNA from 3 species
CGGGAUGUGGCGCAGCCAGGUAGCGCACCUGCUUUGGGAGCAGGGGGUCGGGAGUUCAAAUCUCCCCAUCCCGACCA